CCCGGCCCUGCGGCAGCGGCGCCGCUCUGCUGUCUCUGCACAGCAACCUGGUGCUGCUUCUGCUUGGGGGAGAGUUAAUUCCCUUCACAGUGGCUGUGUAUUGGAUUAGUGCUGAACACAGGGCUGGUAAUACAGAGAUGUCUUUGUUACUCAUGUUAUAAAUGAGAAGCUUGACUAGGCCAAUAUUCAAGCAGCAGCCAAUUUAUUAAUUAAUAUGGUAAAGUAUGAGCAAUACAGCGCUGGGUACAGUGGGGGAAGUUUUCCCUCCAGCUGCACACCGAUAGUUGGGGCUUACAGAUAUUUAUAGGGGUACUCAUAAGCUUUCUCAGCAGUUUCUAUUCCCAAUUUUUACAUCACAAUUCCAUACACUAUUGUGAUUUAGUUUUUCUCAGGAUGUAUCUCAGAAAGGAAUAUCCCCAGAUGGUGGGGUCCAGCUUCCAAAAGAAGAAAGAAGUCUCCCAGCUGGUGAGGUCCAGAUUCCAGAUGCAGGUUCACUUUUAAUUGCAAGGACUAUAAAUCUCAUAACAGUGAUGUCCAGCUUCCCUUGGUCAAAACUAUCAAUCCUUGAGUUGAUGUUCAUCUUCCUUUCUCAAGCUGCUUUUCACUGUUUUGUUAAGGCGUUGAGAUAAGCAUGUUUCCUUUUUAUAUAUUCUAAAGCUAUAGUUUCAAAGAUCCUUACUACAAGCAAUAUUCUAAAAUUACACUUCAAAAGGUUAUUAUUGCAAAACUCUUUUUAGCUAGAAGCAGAAAGCUCCUGUCAAACGGCAACAUCCUUAAAGCUUUAAUUCGAAUGCUCCUAAAUCAACUUAAGACUUAUAAAGGUUAAUUGCAAACAAAGGAUAGGUUCUAAGGCCUUCAUCCAUGCUUCACUUUCUCUGUUAUUUAUUAGAAUUGUCUUUAUAACUGUCCCAUGGUCAGUUUCCACACUUUUCACAAUCACAGAUAGACACAUUGCCUGUAUGUACCUGGCACAAAACACAGCUUUGUAUUUCACACUCAUGUGUUGAGGACAGAACACCCCUUUCCUCAGCUGGGGUUACCUGUCCCAGAUGUGUCCCAGCCCCUCACCAGCGUGGCUGCAUGAAAAGCAGAGAAAGCCUUGGCUCUGUGUAAGCUCUGCUCAGCAAUAACAAAAACAUCUCUCUAUUAUCAGCCAUGUGUUCAGCACUACUCCAACACACAGCCUCAUUCCAGACACUGUGAAGAAAAUUAACCCUACCCCAGCCAAAAGCAGCACAAUGGGGCUAGUGUAUGGAUAGGGUUCUGUGCCUUUCUAUCUCAAAUUAAAAAAAAUUUAAAAUCAAGCACUCAUUUCUCAGUCUUUUUACUCUUUUGGUCUCUGCAUCCCCUGGGGCAUCUCCCAGCUCACCUGAGAGUUGGACAGGUUCAAGUUUUUUCUGCUCACAUCUGCAGCAAGGGAGGGUCUUGUGUACAUCCCAGUGACUGAUUUGUAACUCAGUGGGAGAUGAAUAUCAGAAAUGAGGAGUGAUAAAUUUCUGUCAGAAAAUGGACUUGGAACAGGCUGCCCAGGGAGGUGGUGGAGUCACCAUCCCUGGAGAUGUUCAAGCAACACAGUUUCUUAAAAAAAGCUAAUAUUGAUUUAGAAUAUGAAUAGCACCAUGUUAGUCCUAGAAAACGUUGUUAGAAUUUUAAUGCAAAAGGUGAAUCACCUGAAGAAUAUGGUAGCAAACACUUCAUCAGGAACAGCACUGUGGAAAGACAGACAAGGUAGGCACCCUUGCACGAUUUUCUUUGUGAUGAUAAUUUUUGUUGUUCCCUCUUAAAAUUCCUACAUUUCUUUACUGCACAUUCUUUACAGACCUAACAGAAGCAGCUACAGCAGGAAGAAGUUUAACCACUGCAUUGCAGAACUGGGCAAUGCUCCUUAACAGGCAAAUUAAUGGGACAGCAGAAAUACCAUGGACAAAUGGUACAAGAUGAGCUCCAGUACCCACAGACAAUACCGGUGUGUUCUUCUCUUAUACUGGAGGAUGUUGUCCCUGCCAAUUUCCCUGGGACAAGGACAAUAUAUGCCAUAAUGGAUUAUGCACAGUCCGAACCAGGACAGGCUUACAAAGGAGCUGCAGUUUGUGCUGCUGAGGCCACAGAAUAAGGAGGUUUGGCAUGACUGACUCCUGGCUGUUUCUAAUGUAAGGACCUCUAGUGAAUUUCAGUUUGAUUUUGCAUGCUGGUAUUUUUAGAAAAUUGGCUUUUCUAAACGCUUGUGAAAGACACAUUUCCUUCAGAAAACUGCAGCUCAGACAAGCUUGAAAAUGUCACCACAGUUCAUAAACUGUGUCAUCACAGGCAGAAAUACAAUUUAAGAAACUUGAUCUCUAAUCCAAUGCCUUAGCCAUUAUGGUCUGAGCUUUCAUGAUGUAUUAGAUUGCUUGUUUACAGUUUAUUUUUUGGUCAGGAAAAUAAGAUCCGUCCUUUACUUACAGUUCUGUGCCACAGAUGUAUAAUUGUAGGAAAAAAUGGAUUUGUUGCACAUUAAUGUUAAAGUAUGAGUGUGUAACAUCUGUCCAUCAAAUACCAGUGCAGUUACCUACUCACACUGAUUACUGGAAAACAUUAUAAUUCUGGAAGGCUGGUUUAAUUUGAUGUUCUCCUUAAUGAUAAAUCUUCUUGUGCAUUAAAACAAACAGACAAUCUCCCUCCCCAUGUUUUUCCAUGCACCUUUUCUCAUUAAAACAAACUAUUAAAAAAAUACUAUGACUUGUCACUACAGUUUUGCCAGCCUGUUCAGAAUUGAGUUUUGAUGUCUUUAUAAAAUAAAUUGCUAUUCUGCCUUUUA